rnacentral:rRNA from 1 species
GACGAACGCUGGCGGCGUGCUUAACACAUGCAAGUCGAACGAAGAGCGAUGGAAGCUUGCUUCUAUCAAUCUUAGUGGCGAACGGGUGAGUAACGCGUAAUCAACCUGCCCUUCAGAGGGGGACAACAGUUGGAAACGACUGCUAAUACCGCAUACGAUCUAACCUCGGCAUCGAGGAUAGAUGAAAGGUGGCCUCUACAUGUAAGCUAUCACUGAAGGAGGGGAUUGCGUCUGAUUAGCUAGUUGGAGGGGUAACGGCCCACCAAGGCGAUGAUCAGUAGCCGGUCUGAGAGGAUGAACGGCCACAUUGGGACUGAGACACGGCCCAGACUCCUACGGGAGGCAGCAGUGGGGAAUCUUCCGCAAUGGACGAAAGUCUGACGGAGCAACGCCGCGUGAGUGAUGACGGCCUUCGGGUUGUAAAGCUCUGUUAAUCGGGACGAAAGGCCUUCUUGCGAAUAG